UGCAGUCGAGCGAACUGAUUAGAAGCUUGCUUCUAUGACGUUAGCGGCGGACGGGUGAGUAACACGUGGGCAACCUGCCUGUAAGACUGGGAUAACUUCGGGAAACCGAAGCUAAUACCGGAUAGGAUCUUCUCCUUCAUGGGAGAUGAUUGAAAGAUGGUUUCGGCUAUCACUUACAGAUGGGCCCGCGGUGCAUUAGCUAGUUGGUGAGGUAACGGCUCACCAAGGCAACGAUGCAUAGCCGACCUGAGAGGGUGAUCGGCCACACUGGGACUGAGACACGGCCCAGACUCCUACGGGAGGCAGCAGUAGGGAAUCUUCCGCAAUGGACGAAAGUCUGACGGAGCAACGCCGCGUGAGUGAUGAAGGCUUUCGGGUCGUAAAACUCUGUUGUUAGGGAAGAACAAGUAUGAGAGUAACUGCUCGUACCUUGACGGUACCUAACCAGAAAGCCACGGCUAACUACGUGCCAGCAGCCGCGGUAAUACGUAGGUGGCAAGCGUUAUCCGGAAUUAUUGGGCGUAAAGCGCGCGCAGGCGGUUUCUUAAGUCUGAUGUGAAAGCCCACGGCUCAACCGUGGAGGGUCAUUGGAAACUGGGGAACUUGAGUGCAGAAGAGAAAAGCGGAAUUCCACGUGUAGCGGUGAAAUGCGUAGAGAUGUGGAGGAACACCAGUGGCGAAAGCGGCUUUUUGGUCUGUAACUGACGCUGAGCGCGAAAGCGUGGGGAGCAAACAGAUUAGAUACCCUGGUAGUCCACCCCGUAACGAUGAUGCUAAGUGUUAGAGGGUUUCCGCCCUUUAGUGCUGCAGCUAACGCAUUAAGCACUCCGCCUGGGAGUACGUCGCAAGACUGAACUCAAGAAUUGACGGGCCCGCACAGCGUGGAGCAUGUGUUAAUUCGAGCAACGCGAGAACCUUACCAGUCU
rnacentral:rRNA from 1 species